GAAAGGCACCAGAUGUUUUUUUCUCUUUUCUUUUCUCUUUUGUUUUUUUGUUUUCUCAUCUUCUCUGUCAUUCGACGAAAUCCACCACCUCUUCUCUCGGCUUCUCCGUCAGAGACGAUCGACGAAUCUGUCGGUCAUCACGGCGUGUCCUCCGUGUUCUCUGUCAAACGAGCACUCGAAACCCACCGAGAGGACAGCAUGAUUUGGAUGCUGAUUACAGUCAGAAGAGGGCAGCAUGAUUUGGACGCUGAUUACCGUCAUAAGAGGACAGCUCUCCCACCAAAAUCUCUCUUCAAUUCUUCUAUUUUAGAUAACUUCAGUCCACGACUUGAAUUACUUGUCUCAGAUGCUGUGAAGAGGCAGAUGACUAAGGACGGUGAAAAGCAUCAAAAGAUUUCAACCUGACGUUACCAUAUCAUGGAGAGACUAUUUCAUUAGAGGUAAACUAACUUAAACUAUGUCCUGCACUUCCUUUGGCCAUUACUUCCUGUGUGAUUCAAUAUAUAUGGUAGUGAGAACUUUCUGCAACUUUUACAAUGCAAGGUAUCAAAUGUGAUGACAGUUUUUGCUCACUCUUGAUUCAACUUUAGAAAUACAGAGUUUGACCUGUUUUGAAUAUGAGUCAGGAAGGAGAGCUACUUGUGCUGCUUACAGAUGGUAGAAAGCUAAUGGGAACACUCUGUUCUUUUUGAUCAAUUGAGAAGAAGAGGAAGCCUGUCUCUAAGGUAUUCUCAACACACUCCAUUCUCUUUAUCUUUUUGAUGCAUUGUAUUCAAAUUCCAAGUCUUGUGAUGUGGGUUAGAGUUAAAGCGGGUUUAGGAAUUUUCAGCCAUUUCUGAUAUAGAUUAUUUCAUUUUUGGAUGAUGCAUUGUAUUUCAUUUGCAUUGUAUUAAUAAUUUUUUUUCUAAGAAUCCUUACUUAAGAAACUCCCAUUGGACCACUCAAAAUGAGAGUUUCUUAACUAAAGUUUUUAGGUUAAUUUUAUUAAUUAAAAAGUCAUUAAGAAACCCAUUAUGAGUGAUAGGGAUAAUCAUGCUUUUAGAGGACGAAAACCAUAUUUUCCCACAGAUCGUUACACUCGGAAAAUUGAUACUUUAAAAAUUCUAUAUAAUUUUCUUUUAUAAAUUUUGGCGCUGAAAAAAAAAGUGAUUCCUGGUCUUUUUACCUCAGGGCUGGCGUUGUAUAUAAGUUUUAGUCCUCCAUUUCUAAUGAAUAAUUACAUCUUUUUUUUUGGUUUAAAAUUAAUAUUUGCUUGUGAUCAUACUUGUAUUUUUUCCAAUUUUUUUAAAAGGCUACUAAAAUUCGUUUCAAGUUCCAUUUUUGGCAUACUGCCUACUAUGCGACCGUUGAGUGUUAUAAAAUAAAUGUAUUGUAUAAAUAAUUUGGCUUUAACGUUAAAAAUAAUGUAUUAAAUCUUUGGUAAACCAUACAUAUCCAGUUUAAGGUCAGAUACAAUCUAUUAUACGUGUCUGAGCUUUGAUGCCACUCCACUCAACCUCGUAAGAAGAACAAACAAAUCCUAGAAAACUGAAAUUGGCGGGUUUAAAUUAUGAAAAGUGACAAACACAUAAUACUUUUGUGUAUAAUACUUUCAACUUGUCAUUUACAGAGUGAACACAAAAGACUUAUAUAGAGAGCUAUCGAACUCUCUAGAUCCUAAUUACAACAGCCUAUAAAGGCGAUUACUCAGCACUAAUAAAUAAGAGAGUAUCAAAACGGUUCUAAAGGAGCGUUGCUGCCUUUGUCGUGUUCUUCUUUACCUUUGCCGU